rnacentral:rRNA from 1 species
UACGUAGGGGGCAAGCGUUAUCCGGAUUUACUGGGUGUAAAGGGAGCGUAGACGGAAUUGCAAGUCUGAUGUGAAAAUCCGGGGCCCAACCCCGGAACUGCAUUGGAAACUGUAUUUCUAGAGUGUCGGAGAGGCAAGUGGAAUUCCUGGUGUAGCGGUGAAAUGCGUAGAUAUCAGGAGGAACACCAGUGGCGAAGGCGGCCUGCUGGACGAUGACUGACGUUGAGGCUCGAAAGCGUGGGGAGCAAACAGG